AUACGAAGGGUGCAAGCGUUAAUCGGAAUUACUGGGCGUAAAGCGCGCGUAGGUGGUUCGUUAAGUUGGAUGUGAAAGCCCCGGGCUCAACCUGGGAACUGCAUCCAAAACUGGCGAGCUAGAGUAUAGCAGAGGGUGGUGGAAUUUCCUGUGUAGUGGUGAAAUGCGUAGAUAUAGGAAGGAACACCAGUGGCGAAGGCGUCUACCUGGACUGAUACUGACACUGAGGUGCGAAAGCUUGGGGAGCAAACAGGAUUAGAUUCCCUGGUAGUCCACGCCGUAAACGAUGUCAACUAGCCGUUGGGAUCCUUGAGAUCUUAGUGGCGCAGCUAACGCAUUAAGUUGACCGCCUGGGGAGUACGGCCGCAAGGUUGAAACUCAAAGGAAUUGACGGG
rnacentral:rRNA from 1 species